rnacentral:tRNA from 1 species
GGACAUGUAGCUCAAUGGUAGAGCACUUGUCUGGCACACACAAGUCUCUAGAUCUAAUUCUCAUUACCA